GCGGCCCCGUCGUAGCUGCCGUCCUCGUCGUAGCGGCCGCCGACGACGAGGUCGUCCGAGCCGUCGCCGUCGAAGUC
rnacentral:tRNA from 1 species